GUGCAACUGCAGAAGGCUCAUUAAAACAGUUAUAGUUUAUUUGAUGAUAUCUUUUUACAUGGAUAACCCUUGUAACCUAGAGCUAAUACAUGCGUAAAAUCCCGACUUCUGGAAGGGAUGUAUUUAUUAGUCAUAAAACCAAUGCCCAGCAAUGGGUUUUGUGGUGAAUCAUAAUAACUGUCGAAUCGCAUGGACUUGUUCCGGCGAUAGAUCAUUCAAAUUUCUGCCCUAUCAGCUUUCAAUCGUAGUGUAGUGGACUACGAUGGCUUUGACGGGUAACGGAGAAUUAGGGUUCGAUUCCGGAGAAGGAGCCUGAGAGACGGCUACUACAUCUAAGGAAGGCAGCAGGCGCGCAAAUUACCCAAUUGGAAUUUCCAGAGGUAGUGAAGAUAAAUAACAAUACCGGUCACUAAUAGUGUCUGGUAAUUGGAAUGAGAACAAAUUAAAUCCCUUAUCGAUUAACAAUUGGAGGGCAAGUCUGGUGACAGCAGCCGCGGUAACACCAGCUCCAAUAGCGUAUAUUAAAGUUGUUGCAGUUAAAAAGCUCGUAGUUGGAUAUCUGAUUAGGAUGCCUGGCCCGCCUCCUCACGGAGUGUGUGUGCCGGUGCAACCUAAUCAUCCUUCUGGACUAGAUAAGUUGCCUUCACGGGUGAUUUAUUCAAUCUGGAUCUUUUACUUUGAAAAAAUUAGAGUGUUCAAAGCAAGCGUUUGCCGUGAAUACAUUAGCAUGGAAUAAUAAAAUAGGACUUUGGCCUAUUUUGUUGGUUCUAGGACCAAAGUAAUGAUUGAUAGGGAUAGUUGGGGGUGCUUGUAUUGAACGGCCAGAGGCGAAAUUCUUGGAUUCGUUCAAGACAAACUAAUGCGAAAGCAUUCACCAAGGAUGUCUUCUUUAAUCAAGAACGAAAGUUGGGGGAUCGAAGACGAUUAGAUACCGUCGUAGUCUCAACCAUAAACUAUGCCAACUGAGGAUUGGUGAGCAUCGAUUCGAUCUCAUCAGGACUCUACGAGAAAUCAAAGUGUUCGGGUUCUGGGGGGAGUCUGGUCGUAAGGCUGAAACUUAAAGGAAUUGACGGAAGGGCACACCAGGAGUGGAGCCUGCGGCUUAAUUUGACACAACACGGAAAAACUUACCAGGUCCGGAGACGCGAAGGAUUGACAGAUUGCAGAUCUUUCUUGAUUGCGUCGGUGGUGGUGCAUGGUCGUUCUUAGUUGGUGGAGUGAUUUGUCUGGUUAAUUCCGUUAACGAACGAGACCUCAGCCUGCUAAAUAGUCAGAUGUACGCUUCGGUGUACAGUUGCUGACUUCUUAGAGGGACUGUCGGUUUCUAGCCGAAGGAAGCGUGAGGCAAUAACAGGUCUGUGAUGCCCUUAGAUGUUCUGGGCUGCACGCGCGCUACACUGUUGGAUUCAACGAGUAUCACCCUUGAUCGAAAGGUCUGGGUAAUCUUUGAAAAUCCAACGUGAUGGGGAUUGAGUAUUGCAAUUAUUAGUCAUGAACCAGGAAUUCCUAGUAAACGUGAGUCAUCAGCUCACAUUGAUUACGUCCCUGCCCUUUGUACACACCGCCCGUCGCUCCUACCGAUUGAAUGAUAUGGUGAAGUCUUCGGACUGACUGUUUGGGAUGGGCUUCGGUUCAUUUCUUGUGGUCAGGAAGUUGAUUGAACCUUAUCAUUUAGAGGAAGGAGAAGUCGUAACAAGGUU
rnacentral:rRNA from 1 species